CAACAGGGAUUGCCCUAGUAACGGCGAGUGAAGCGGCAACAGCUCAAAUUUGAAAUCUGGCCUUCGGGUCCGAGUUGUAAUUUGUAGAGGAUGCUUUUGGCGCGGUGCCUUCCGAGUUCCCUGGAACGGGACGCCUUAGAGGGUGAGAGCCCCGUACGGUUGGACACCAAGCCUCUGUAAAGCUCCUUCGACGAGUCGAGUAGUUUGGGAAUGCUGCUCUAAAUGGGAGGUAAAUUUCUUCUAAAGCUAAAUAUUGGCCAGAGACCGAUAGCGCACAAGUAGAGUGAUCGAAAGAUGAAAAGCACUUUGAAAAGAGGGUUAAAUAGCACGUGAAAUUGUUGAAAGGGAAGCGUUUGCGACCAGACCUUUUCCUAGUGGAUCAUCCGGUGUUCUCACCGGUGCACUUCGCUAGGUUGAGGCCAGCAUCGGUUUCCGUAGGGGGAUAAAAGCUUGGGGAAUGUAGCUCCUUCGGGAGUGUUAUAGCCCCUUGCAUAAUACCCUUACGGGGACCGAGGACCGCGCUUCGGCAAGGAUGCUGGCGUAAUGGUCGUCAACGA
rnacentral:rRNA from 1 species